rnacentral:rRNA from 1 species
GAAUUACUGGGCGUAAAGAGUACGUAGACGGCUUUUUAAGCCUGUUGUUAAAUUUUCCGGCCUAACCGGAAGCAAGCAGCGGGAACUGAAUGGCUAGAGGGUGAAAGAGAGAAGUGGAAUUCCCGGAGUAGCGGUAAAAUGCGUAGAUCUCGGGAGGAACACCAAUGGCGAAGGCAGCUUCUUGGUUCACAUCUGACGUUGAGGUACGAAAGCGUGGGGAGCAAACAGGGUUAGAUACCCUGGUAGUCCACGCCGUAAACGAUGAUCACUAGACGUUGGGUUGACUUAGUCAACUCGGUGUUGUAGCUAACGCGCUAAGUGGUCCGCCUGGGGAGUACGGUCGCAAGAUUAAAACUCAAAGGAAUUGACGGGGGUCCGCACAAGCGGUGGAACAUGUGGUUUAAUUCGACAAUACGCGAGGAACCUUACCUGGGUUUGACAUGUAUUUGACAACCACAGAAACGUGGUCUUCCAGGCUUCGGCCUGGACAGAUACACAGGUGCUGCAUGGCUGUCGUCAGCUCGUGUCGUGAGAUGUUGGGUUAAGUCCUUUAACGAGCGCAACCCCUGCUGUCAGUUGCUAAUCGGCUUCGGUCGAAGAACCCUGACGGGACUGCCUGGGAAACCAGGAGGAAGGUGGGGACGACGUCAAGUCAUCAUGGUCCUUAUAUCCAGGGCUACACACGUGUUACAAUGGCCGGUACAGCGGGACGCGACUCCGUAAGGAUGAGCUAAUCCUAUAAAGCCGGUCUAAGUUCGGAUUGGGGUCUGUAACUCGACCCCAUGAAGUUGAAAUCGCUAGUAAUCGCGUAUCAGCAACGACGCGGUGAAUACGUUCUCGGGCCUUGUACACACCGCCCGUCACACCACGAAAGCUAUUUGCACCCGAAAUCGUCUUAACCAACCCGUAAGGGAGGUGGGCGCUU